rnacentral:misc_RNA from 1 species
GAAAUGCGAUAAGUAAUGUGAAUUGCAGAAUUCAGUGAAUCAUCGAAUCUUUGAACGCACCUUGCUCUCCUUGGUAUUCCUUGGAGCAUGCCUGUUUGAGUAUCAUGAAAUCUUCAAAGUAAAUCUUUUGUUAACUCAAUUGGCUUCUACUUUGGUAUUGGAGGUCUUUGCAGCUUCACACCUGCUCCUCUUUGUUCAUUAGCUGGAUCUCAGUGUUAUGCUUGGUUCCACUCGGCGUGAUAAGUUAUCUAUCGCUGAGGACACUGUAAAAGGUGGCCAAGGUAAAUGCAGAUGAACCGCUUCUAAUAGUCCAUUGACUUGGACAAUACUUUUAUGAUCUGAUCUCAAAUCAGGUAGGACUACCCGCUGAACUUAAGC